rnacentral:rRNA from 1 species
GACGAACGCUGGCGGCGUGCCUAAUACAUGCAAGUUGAGCGCUGAAGGUUGGUCCUUGUUCCCACUGGAUGAGCAGCGCACGGGUGAGUAACGCGUGGGGCAUCUGCCUUUGAGCGGGGGACCACAUUUGGAAACGAAUGCUAAUACCGCAUAAAAACUUUAAACACAAGUUUUACGUUUGAAAUAUGCUAUUGCAUCACUCAAAGAUGAUCCCGCGUUGUAUUAGCUAGUUGGUGAGGUAAAGGCUCACCAAGGCGAUGACACAUAGCCGACCUGAGAGGGUGAUCGGCCACAUUGGGACGGAGACACGGCCCAAACUCCUACGGGAGGCAGCAGUAGGGAAUCUUCGGCAAUGGACGAAAGUCUGACCGAGCAACGCCGCGUGAGUGAAGAAGGUUUUCGGAUCGUAAAACUCGGUUGGUAGAGAAGAACGUUGGUGAGAGUGGAAAGCUCAUCAAGUGACGGUAACUACCCAGAAAGGGACGGCUAACUACGUG